rnacentral:tRNA from 1 species
GCCUCUGUAGCUUAAUGGAUAAAGCAGUAGUCUUCGGAACUACUGAUGGGGGUUCAAUUCCCUCCAGAGGCA